UGAGAAUUGUUUGUAUAAUGCUUUUGUUCUGUAUGCAAACACUACUAUUAGGCUUAUUACAUUUUUUCUGCGUGUACCAAGUAAAGUUCCUGGACAUCUUCUUAAAUCCUCCCUGGUCAUUGGCUGCAUCCAGGACCCUUUCAGGAGCCAUCAUGAGGGAGGAUGAGAAACAAACAAAAGAACAGGUGAGCAGUCCAGAAAGAUGCUACACAGCCCUCCCCCAUCUGCUGAAUUCUGACAGACAUACUUGACUCGUGAAGUCCUACUGGAGGACAGUAAAGAAAAGAGCUGAGACAAGGAGGACUGAGUGGCCCAGUUCUUUGGUUGCUUUGGUCAGUUUGUAAAGGAAAUAUUCAGAGCAUUGUCAAUUAACGCCACGGAGGUUUUUUAUUAGGAAAGAUUCUUGGGGGGAAAAGGAAGGGAGAGAGGGAAGGAGGGUAAAGCUCUUAACACCUUAGUUUGUUACAACAGUAAAAAGUUUGUUUCUUCCUGCAAGGGAAGUUUUGUACAACAAUCACACAUUCUAUCUACUCCAUAAUAAAGAUAACCAGUUAAUUCUAUACCA
rnacentral:lncRNA from 1 species